rnacentral:lncRNA from 1 species
CGGCGGCGCCCGCCCGCGCCUCCAUCCGGGUCCUGGCGCGGUGCUCUCCCGGCAGCGACGGGCGCGAGGGCCGGGGCAUUCCCACGGCCGCGACGGCCCUCUCCGCGAGCGCGAGACGGAGUCUUGCUAUGUUGCCCAGGCUGGUCUUGAACUCCGGGGCUCAGACAGUCCUCCCACCUUGGGCUCCCAGAGUGCUGGGAUUACUGCUGUGAGCCACUGCACCUGCCUGCAUCAUGCUUAGGUUUGAAUGUGGUUGUGUGAUGAUCAGAGCUGCUGCAGCCAUCUUGUGACCACGAAGGGAUGUACAUGAAGCAUGGCACCAACAGCUGCUCCUGUGAGGCCUCAAGAAGCUUACAAUCGUGGCAGAAGCUGAAGGGGGAGCCAGCGUGUGGCAUGGCAAGGGAAGGAGCAAGAGAGAGAGGGAGGAGCUGCCAGGCUCUUGAACAACCAGAUCUCACGUGAACUCACAGAUUGAAAUUCACUCAUUACUGUGAGGACACACCAAGCCAUUUAUGAGGGAUGCACCCCUAUGACCCAAACACCUCCUACUAGGCCCACCUCCAACAUCAGAGGUCACAUGAAACGAGAUGUAUAGGGGACAAAACAGUCAAACCAUAUCAGUCCCACCAGC